UGGGGAAUUUUGGACAAUGGGCGCAAGCCUGAUCCAGCAAUGCCGCGUGUGUGAAGAAGGCCUUCGGGUUGUAAAGCACUUUUGUCCGGAAAGAAAACCUCGUGGUUAAUACCCGUGGGGGAUGACGGUACCGGAAGAAUAAGCACCGGCUAACUACGUGCCAGCAGCCGCGGUAAUACGUAGGGUGCAAGCGUUAAUCGGAAUUACUGGGCGUAAAGCGUGCGCAGGCGGUUCGCUAAGACAGAUGUGAAAUCCCCGGGCUUAACCUGGGAACUGCAUUUGUGACUGGCGGGCUAGAGUAUGGCAGAGGGGGGUAGAAUUCCACGUGUAGCAGUGAAAUGCGUAGAGAUGUGGAGGAAUACCGAUGGCGAAGGCAGCCCCCUGGGCCAAUACUGACGCUCAUGCACGAAAGCGUGGGGAGCAAACA
rnacentral:rRNA from 2 species